AUUUUUACUGCUGGCUAUAAGGCUGUCUUGCACAUUCAUUCUGUUGUGGAGGAAUGUGAGAUUGUUGAGCUAAUACAGCAAAUUGAUCCAAAGACAAAGAAACCCAUGAAAAAGAAAGUUCUCUUUGUGAAGAAUGGUGCUGUUGUUGUAUGCCGCGUUCAGGUGAAUAACUUGAUAUGCAUUGAGAAGUUCUCAGAUUUUCCGCAGCUUGGAAGGUUCACUCUUCGUACUGAAGGAAAAACUGUUGCAGUGGGGAAAGUGACUGAUCUUUGUGCCGCUUAACCAUUUUUGUUACUAGAGGCAAAGCUGAAUCAGCAGAACAACUUUUUUGCGUGUCUGAUCUGAUCGAUUGCAGCCGAAGGAGUUGAGAUAAUGACAUUUUUAUCAGCAAUCGAUAGAGAAAUUGUUUGGAUUCAGCUGUUGCAUUGCAAAGGUGUUGGUGUUGGUAUCAUAGUUAUGUUAUUGAAAUGGGGGCUUUAAUUGAUAGUUUUAAUGGGUGUAAAAUAUGUGCUGCUUCACCCAUUGCAAUUUUUACAACUUCAUUAUAGUUAUUAUAAUUGAUGAUAUUAAUGAUCAGUUUGUUUGAUUAAAGUUAGCUUUA